rnacentral:lncRNA from 1 species
AACUUGAAACGUCGGAUGGGUCUUUACCCUGUUUCAAGACCGGGACUACAAUGGAUUCUUUCCAUGAGGAUGGGAGAUAUCAGGCAGCUCAAAUAGAGUUGAAAAGUGCCAGAAGUGUCAUCUGUGUGUCGGUGUGUAGGUUUUUGAUCAUUUCUUACAUGGAUUCUGUCAAAUCCUGGUGCGGAGCUCAUACAUGUGCUCAAGGCAGCUCUAAGCUCGGCAAUACUAAAUGGACAGUUGUAUGGUUCAUUAUU